CUUUGCUCAUGGUGUCUUUGCUGCGGAUGAUUAAAAAAGAUUUCCGAAAGAUACGAUGAAUGAUCUAGAAUAAAUUAAAUUUUUAUGCAUCUGAGUGCGUCUUCGCUGCUGCUAACGUCACGUCAGGGGAAAAAAACACGAGGCGUGUGAACCCGUACGUUUUCGGAAAGCUUCUAAAUUUGGCCAUUAAACCUUUAAAUGGCCAAUACAAAACUGAAAAACAAUCGCGUCAAGGCCGGCAACAACGCAAGCGGCGAAGUUCGACAAAGUACACCAUCCUGCCGUACAAACUCCGGAGCAGCUGUACUGAAACAGGUUGAACAAUGAGCCGGAACAAUCAGCACCACUUCUUCAACAGCAGCAGCAGUAAACAUUAGUCGAGUCAGUUCCGGAGCCACGAUUGAGACCGCAGACACCAGCAAUCCAAACGGAACCAUGUUGAAACACUUCCGGAUGCUGUCAAACCCGAGCAAGUGGAAACAGCCAAAUGAAAUUCGGUGGCUGAAACGGCUCAAACAGCAAACAAUCGAAAAAGCUUGAAAGAAAAACACUCCAACAUAUAUUCCGAAAAACACCGGAGCAGGUCCAGUCCACUGGGCCGGAACCAGCUUCACAUCAACAGCAGCAGCAGUAUAACUUUGUCACAGGAGGUAGUUUUCCUUCUCCAGCGGCGGAAGCGAAUCGGGCGCGGAAGUAACUCAGCCAGCGAUCAUAAUAAGAUGGUGGCUCCGCCGUUCCAUUAUGAACCGUAGGUUAUAGUUAUGGAUUCGGAUACUAUUCUCUCGUGCUGUAAAUCAAAUCAUCGGUCGAAUCAUUCAACACAAAAAUGAUAACGGUACGAUUCUGCUGUGCGACAGCCCUUCUUAUAACCUUCGACAUUCGACAGAAAACACUACUAUCUUCCUGGAUCCAGAGACAUCUAAAUGCAGCGGAGGCCAGGUUGACUUCAUAAGUACCGAAGCUGCAACAGCGCUGAGGCAGAAACCGAAAAAGUGUGCGCUUACGAAGAAAAUUUCAUUUGCUAAUGAUCGGAAUCCAGUUACCAAACAGCAUGAGAACCUGGAUCGUUGAUCUCUCUCCCCCCCAGCACCGGAGCCCUUAACGGUUUUGGAUAUAGCUGGCCAUUGCUGGUUUUGUAACUCAGACGGUUACAAACUACGGUCCAUGGAUAGGUUUACUCAGGAAGUAGGCCAACUAUGUGGAAACCCAUUUUACGAAUUUCUGGGACAAGCUCACGGACCUUUCUUUCGGACGUUUCCAUCAGCGGAUCCAUCAUUCAGCAGCCAGCUGGUCAUCGAAGCUGUCAGGGGAAACCGGAGAAACUGAUUUAAGUAUGUGCCUAGGCCGUUAUAUCAGGUCAACGAAAUCAAUUGAAAGGAACGGGAUCCAUGAAUUCCUUUUGUUCCUGUUUUUCUGACCCACACUGGCGAACUCGGAUGGUUAUGGCACAGGAUCGAUUUAUAUAAGAAAUGGAUGCGGUAGAUUAUAUGAUUAAGCCUACGAAAGACUAAUGCGAAGGUUGUUGUGUGGUAAUAAUAUAUAAAAUAAUAUGAAAAUGUA